AUUGAACGCUGGCGGCAGGCUUAACACAUGCAAGUCGAGCGGUAACAUUUCUAGCUUGCUAGAAGAUGACGAGCGGCGGACGGGUGAGUAAUACUUAGGAAUCUACCUAGUAGUGGGGGAUAGCUCGGGGAAACUCGAAUUAAUACCGCAUACGUCCUACGGGAGAAAGGGGGCAACUUGUUGCUCUCGCUAUUAGAUGAGCCUAAGUCGGAUUAGCUAGAUGGUGGGGUAAAGGCCUACCAUGGCGACGAUCUGUAGCUGGUCUGAGAGGAUGAUCAGCCACACCGGGACUGAGACACGGCCCGGACUCCUACGGGAGGCAGCAGUGGGGAAUAUUGGACAAUGGGGGAAACCCUGAUCCAGCCAUGCCGCGUGUGUGAAGAAGGCCUUUUGGUUGUAAAGCACUUUAAGCAGUGAAGAAGACUCUUCGGUUAAUACCCGGAGACGAUGACAUUAGCUGCAG
rnacentral:rRNA from 1 species